rnacentral:tmRNA from 1 species
GGGGAUGACAGGCUUCGACGGGGAAGGCUGGUCACGGACUGCAAGCCGGGGCGCUCUGACCUCGUGAACAACGGAGCACACUUUCCAAAGUGCCAACAACACUUGGAUCCCUGUCUCUCGGGCCCAGGUUGCCGCUGCUCCUUUGGCAGCGUAACCUAGUCUGAAGACAAUGAUCGCCUAGCGCGAUCACGUCCGCCCCGGUUUAUCGCCGGCGGGCCGGGGGUCGGACGUCAUACAGUCGGCGUGCGGCGUCCUGAUGUCGAUAGGGAUGCCAAAGAGGGGGUUUCGGCCCCCAUCGGCUGGUUCCGAGCGCAGCGCGGUCAGCGGCGACUCCUCGGACGAGAACGAAACGGCUGACUACGCUUGUAGACGUCUUUGGUCGAAUUCUUCGGACGCGGGUUCGAUUCCCGCCAUCUCCACCU